rnacentral:rRNA from 1 species
UUAUAAUCACAAACGACUCUCGGCAACGGAUAUCUCGGCUCACGCAUCGAUGAAGAACGUAGCAAAAUGCGAUACUUGGUGUGAAUUGCAGAAUCCCGUGAACCAUCGAGUUUUUGAACGCAAGUUGCGCCCGAAGCCUUUUGGCCGAGGGCACGUCUGCCUGGGCGUCACGC